rnacentral:rRNA from 1 species
UACGAAGGGGGCUAGCGUUACUCGGAAUCACUGGGCGUAAGGGUGCGUAGGCGGGUCUUUAAGUCAGGGGUGAAAUCCUGGAGCUCAACUCCAGAACUGCCUUUGAUACUGAAGAUCUUGAGUUCGGGAGAGGAGCGUGGAAUUCCCAGUGUAGAGGUGAAAUUCGUAGAUAUUGGGAAGAACACCGGUGGCGAAGGCGGCGCUCUGGACCGAGACUGACGCUGAGGCGCGAAAGCGUGGGGAGCAAACAGG